ACGCUAAAACACCAGUCCCCUUACGAUCACCGAAGUUAAGCAAUGUCGAGUCUGGUCACUAACUAGAUGGGAGACUGCUUUGGAAUACCAGGUGCUGGAA